UUGAACGCUGGCGGCAUGCUUUACACAUGCAAGUCGAACGGCAGCGGGGGCUUCGGCCCGCCGGCGAGUGGCGAACGGGUGAGUAAUGCAUCGGAACGUACCCAGUCGUGGGGGAUAACUACGCGAAAGCGUGGCUAAUACCGCAUACGAUCUGAGGAUGAAAGCGGGGGAUCGCAAGACCUCGCGCGAUAGGAGCGGCCGAUAUCGGAUUAGCUUGUUGGUGAGGUAAAGGCUCACCAAGGCGACGAUCCGUAGCUGGUCUGAGAGGACGACCAGCCACACUGGAACUGAGACACGGUCCAGACUCCUACGGGAGGCAGCAGUGGGGAAUUUUGGACAAUGGGGGCAACCCUGAUCCAGCCAUUCCGCGUGAGUGAAGAAGGCCUUCGGGUUGUAAAGCUCUUUCAGCCGGAACGAAACGGUACGCUCUAACAUAGCGUGCUAAUGACGGUACCGGCAGAAGAAGCACCGGCUAACUACGU
rnacentral:rRNA from 1 species